CGGAGCAUCUGGGCACGCCCUUGCGCGCGGCGCGUGGGGGGCUCCACGCGAGACGGCGCCCGUGGGGGAUGUGGAUGCGGACGCGGCCAUUUGGUAGAGAAGCCCGUGCAAGUGUGCUCGGUGUGCCGUCCCCCAGGGCCUCCCGUAGCCACGAGCACCACGGUCCCUGCAUUAAGUAGCUGAAUCCUGACAUAAGUUGAAACCAUAUUCAGCUUCACCACCCCCCCUCCCCUUCCCGGUUCAACACAGCUUCCAAACCCCUUCCUGGCCGGCCCAGUUCUACAGCUCCGCCUUACAAACAAAAUGGCUGAGGUGCCCAGUUUUUUGGAUCCUUCCACCCGGCCUCCAGGAAGUGGUAAAAAUUCAAAAUAAAUAUAGCACUAAAGUACAACCUUGAGUCUGAACUCCGGACCACCCUUUGGUGCUGGUGCUAGCGGGGUGCCUAGGAAAUGCGCUGCUUUUUUGCUAAAUUUCUAAUGAGCUGAAGAUGAAAGAAGAAAACACUAAAGGAUGAAAAUAGGACGGAGAAUUGUCUACAUUCUUCAAGACCACUCCCACUCCCACAGAGAUCUGGGAAGCCACACUCUGCAGAUCCAGAGCUUGAAGUGUGUUAACCACCAGUGAAGCCCGGCACUCUGGAGCCAGAGCCAGAGAACACAAAAGCCACCAUAAGAUUCUGUGACAUCUCUGCUGUUGGAACCAGAUGUGGCAGCAGCUUUCCAGCCAGCACACCUGCUGGCUGCUGUGGAUCCUGUGUCUCUCAAUGUGUCAGCAGACACGACAUACAUUUUAUACCCCUGGCUCUGCCUCCUGCACAAAUGGCUGCACCAGAUCCGUUCUUUAUUUGGCAGUCCCUUUUCUGUCUGAUUUGAGGACAGUACCAGUUCUGUGGUCUCUCACAUAGUCAUCCUUUCGGUCCUUGGCACUAUUCAGCCUUCCCCUCUAAAAGAUAUCAUUUUUAUUUUCUGAUCUUUUUCUUUUUUAAUUUUUCCUUUUAUAGAAUUUUUUUCCUCACAAAAUACAUCUUGAUUUUGGUUUCUUCUUCUACUCCUCCUACCUCCUCCCCACCUCCCAUCCAGAUCCACCCCUUUCUGUCUCACAUUAGAAAACAAGCAGGCUUCUAUGGGAGAAUAAUAAAAUGUAAUAUAGUGAGACAAAAUAUAACAAGAUAAAACAAAAGCUAAUACAUCAGAAUGGGACGAAGCAUACAAAGGAAAAGAGCCCGAGAAGUCACAAGAAACAGAGAUCCAGAUGUUCACAUACUCAGACAUCCCAUAAAAAUACCAAACUGGAAAUCAUAGUAUGUAUUAAACGACCUACAGGGUAAAAAGAGAGAAGAAAAAAUAUAAUAAGAAAAUUUUGAAAAAGAGGAAGGAAGAGGAGGAGGAAGAAUCUUGACAUGACACAAGACAAGAAACCUCCAAAGAUACCUUUCAGUUCAUUUUCUGUUGGUCAUCUACCACCUCAGAGUAGUUUGUUUUUCAGUUGAGACCCUCUUAAAGGAAACUAAUUUUUCAUUUGCAAGCAAUUAUUGAUUACAUCAAUUGCUCUGGGUUAAGGAUGGGGGCAUGUGCCCACUUCUUCUUUCAGCUCUAGGACUCCAGCUGGUGCAGAACCAUGUAGGUCCUGGGCAUGUUGCCUCAGUCUCUGCAUUCAUAUGUCUGUCAAUCAUUAACUUAGAGAUCUUUGCUUUCUUGGUGUUCUUCAUCCCUUCUGGCUCUUACACUCUUUCUAACUCCUUUCCACGGGGAACCCUGAGCCUUUAGGGGCAGGUGAAUUUGAUGAAGACGUCCCAUUCAGGGCUGAGUGGUCUUAGGUCUCUCACUCUGCAUGAUGUCUGGCUGUGGGUCCCUGUGUUUGUUUCCAUCUGCUGAAGGAUGAAGCUUCUCUAGUGAUAGCUGAGAGAGGCACUGAUCUAUGAGUAUAAUAGGAACCAUUUUACUGCUCCUUUUUUUUCUUUAGAACAGUAGAAUUUGGUUUUACCCUAAAUCCCUGGGCUAGCUUGUCUCAGGUUCUUGAUCACCUAAGCAGGGUUAGGUAUAGGUUUCAUCUCAUGGAGUAGGCUUUCAGUCAAAUCAGGUGUUGGUUGGUUACUCCCACAAACUUCAUGCCAUUGUCCUAGCAUAUCUUGCAGGCAGGGCAUAGUUGCAGAUUGAAGGGUGUGUGUUUGGGUUGGUGUUUAUGUUUCUCUUUUGGUAGCAUACAGAGUAUCUUCCUGUACCAAAGAUGCUAGUAUGUAGGGAUGAAGGCUCUAUGUAGGCACCAGCUCAACUUCUACAUGUUCAGUGAGUUGUUUGUGGGGAACAUCCUAUAGUCUAGGCAACCACCUGGACAUUUUCUGGUUAUUUCAACAUUCCCCAUAUGCUUUAACUGACCAUUGGUGGUUCAGAGUAUUAAAUUUUUAAAGAAAAAAAGGAGGCGCAAAAUGAGACAUAUUAACCAUUUUAUUAUAGGCCCGGCAGAGUAGGGAGACUAA